rfam:Lupinus angustifolius cultivar Tanjil contig_23262, whole genome shotgun sequence.
GCUCUAUGAUGAUAAUCCUAAGGCUUGUUUCUCAAGACAUUCGCAGUGGCCGACUAAGAACUUUCGCCUUCGCCAAGCUUGAGAGUUAAUGCUGCUUUAUCCUUCCUUGGAUGUCUGAGAGU